rnacentral:rRNA from 1 species
UAUUGGACAAUGGGGGAAACCCUGAUCCAGCGACGCCGCGUGGGUGAAGAAGGCCUGCGGGUUGUAAAGCCCUUUCGGUGGGGAAGAAAAGCUGUCGUUUAAUAAACGGCGGCCUUGACGUAACCCACAGAAGAAGCACCGGCUAACUCUGUGCCAGCAGCCGCGGUAAUACAGAGGGUGCGAGCGUUAAUCGGAAUUACUGGGCGUAAAGCGCGCGUAGGCGGCUUGGCAAGUCGGAUGUGAAAUCCCCAGGCUUAACCUGGGAACUGCAUUCGAGACUGCUUUGCUAGAGUAUGGGAGAGGGAAGUGGAAUUUCCGGUGUAGCGGUGAAAUGCGUAGAUAUCGGAAGGAACAUCAGUGGCGAAAGCGACUUCCUGGACCAAUACUGACGCUCAUGUGCGAAAGCGUGGGGAGCAAACA